GUUCUGUUAACAUAAAUCAUUUUUCUUCAUCCCCAAAGGCACGUAUUUGCAGAAUACCUGCUAAGUGGUAGGGGCUACAGAAACAAAACUACAGACAUCAGUGUAUUUUCUGUACUGUGCAUACAAGUGUAGAGGGUCAUAAAAUAUCUUUUAGAAAAUAGGUUAGAUAUAGACGCUAUUCAGCACUAGGUAACUAUAUAGUUGUCAUUUUAAUUCUAUGUUAAUAUGCCCCUGCAAAUAAAAUUCCAUUUGCGCUUUAUCUAAGUUGGGUGAAAAAAAGUUUUAUUUCAAACUACAGCAAUAAAUGUGCCCUUCCUUUUCAUAACUCUUCUUCAGAGUAUUCCCUGCCCACAAACAAGCAUUUUUAUAGAAAUCUAGUGACAGGACAAAAAAGUGGUGUUUCUAUUCUAUUAGGUUUCUGUGGGAACCAAGAAAUAGUACAAAUAUUGAUCAUGUAAGUAGACUAUUAUAUUUAUUAUAAUAUAGACAUUGAUUACUUCCUGGAGAGUUUUUACCUUGUAAAAACUAGGCUACAGUAUCAUAUUCCCACUGAAGACAGUAUGGAUUCCAUUUAUUUCCAAAGCAUGUCAAGAGAUGCCACAGUGUUGUAUUUCAAGGUACAGACUUAAGUCUCAAAUUGCCUGGGUUUAAUUUCCAGCUCUGCUACUUCCUGGCUGCGUAAACCUGGACAAAUUCUUCACUUCUCAGUCUUUUAACUUCUUCACUGUAAAGCAGUGGUAAUUACAGUUUUCAUUAUAUAGAAUUAUUAAGAGAACUAAAUGCACUACUAUUUCUAAAGGACUUAUAACAAGAUCAAGUAUGCCAAAAGUGAAAAAGAAAGAACGUGAACUUUGGUGCCAGGCAGAAGUAGAUUUGGGUUAUGAAUCUGUCAUUUAACUAGUGGUGUGAUCUUGUGCAAGUUUUUUUAAAAUGUGCAAUCUCAGUUUCCUCAUAUGAAAAUGAGGACUGGUAGACAUCAAACCUCACUCAUAUAAUAUACAUUCAUCCUCUUCUCUUUCCGCAUCUCCAUAAACAGUUUACAAACAUUACUGCUUAUGCCAACAUCAAAUUAUGCCCUCCCCAAAUUAAUAAAAGUGAAAUGUUAGAUUUGUUUUCAUUUACUUAAUUUGACUUUACUUAAUUUCAUUUAAUUUGAACAUUGUAUGCUUUCAUGUCUUUGUCUUAGGCAAAAUUUUCUUGCUAAUGAAUACUAAAAAGUAAAAGAAAAAAACUGGCAGAUAUAUGUAUUUGCAGGAUUUGCUCAACUUCCUUAAAACAUGAUUAGAAUUUUAGUGAAUUAAUUUAAGGAAGUUUUAAUUCGGAAUAAAGCAAGAGGACAUAACAAAAUUCCAUUUUACUGUAAUUGCGACUAUGUGAUGUUGCUUUUGAAAUAAUUUCUUUUGGUGGGAAGGUAACUGCAAUUUCUUAGCCUUGUUUUACAUAAGCCUCUUGCUUUUUAUUGACUGUGUGUGGAAUCUAUCCACUUCUGUGUGAAUAGAAUACACUUGAGCCUCCAGUUCUUACGUGCUGCUAAUCUGACAAGAAAUAUACUCAUCCCAAAAUGAUUAAUUAAACAUCUAGAGAAAUCCUUACAUUCCUUCUCAACCAAAACUAUGCUUUU
rnacentral:lncRNA from 1 species